rnacentral:rRNA from 1 species
UGCCAGCCGCCGCGGUAACACGGGGGGCGCAAGCGUUAUUCGGAUUUAUUGGGCGUAAAGAGCAUGUAGGCGGAUUGGAAAGUUAGGUGUGAAAGCCCGGGGCUCACCCCCGGAACCGCAUCUAAAACUCCCAGUCUUGAGGAUGGACGGAGAAAAGGGAAUUCCACGUGUAGCGGUGAAAUGCGUAGAUAUGUGGAAGAACACCAGUGGCGAAGGCGCUUUUCUAGUUUAUUCCUGACGCUGAGAUGCGAAAGCAAGGGGAGCAAACAGGAUUAGAUA